AAUCCCCGGGGCUGGUUUUGCUCUGGAAAUAGUCUCUCUGCUGGGAGUUCACAGGGGUGGGAAUCUGUUGCUGACCUGCUUGGGUGGGGCUUCACUACUGGUCAGCAGGCCUCUGCUAUGAGCCCAGAAGCAGUUUCUGUUGCUACUGCUCCUGGACCUCACUUUCCUCCCAUCCAGCAACAUCUCCUGACUCCAUGUUCUCUCUGGCUGUCCCUGAAGUUCCACCUAAAAUCCCUCCUUUUACAGUUGGCACAGUGCUUGGCACAGAGGAGCCACUGUCUAAAUACUCAUUGACUUGACAUAAGAAAUGACAAAUGAGAGGGAUUCAGAGAGACCAGGGAAGACUGGGGUGGCCUGAGGCAGAAGGAAAUGAGCAGAACCAGGAGGACAAUGUUUGCUCUGCUGACAGCCCUGCAGAGGACAAUGUACAUGUAACAGGAUAAAGCUUCCUGGGCUCUGCUAGAUUCCACCUUUGCUGAUGCUGGUCAGGUCUGUGGAUGGGCUGCACUCACCUGGGAUGAACAUGUGUCAUGAUCCUCAUUGAGAAGAAGGACAAACAACAAACAGACAACAACAGAGUGGGAAGAUGAGGCCCCAUGGAAAGGACAACCAUCAGAAGCAGGAUGUGGAGAGGGGCCCUUGUUCUGACCUACCUGGCACCUGCUUGUGCAGAGCUGGCUCCCAGAAGACAGAGAGAUCUCAGGUCCAGGGAAGGCAGAGAGAUCUCCCCUCUGAGGGAAGAAGACACCUCAGCUUGAAAUGAAGGCAGAGAGAUCUCAGAUCUAAGGGCUUCUGCCUCCAGCCAUGCUGCUCUGGAUGUUCUCUCACAGGAAGACAACUGGAUCCUAAGGGAGAGCUGAGGCCAGGACACCUGGGUCCCAGGGCAUAAUGACCUUUCUCUGUGGCUGUUUCCUGAUUCAACCACUGGAAUCCCUCCCCUGGGAGGUCUCACUAAUUCCCUCUUCACCCCUCAAAACCCAGGUUCUCGGGGAAGUGGAGAGGGGCAGAAAGCAGGACAGGCUGAUCGUGGGGCACAAGAAUGCCAGGAAGCCAGGAUGGAGGCCACUGAGGGACAGAAAGUGGGAUUCCUGGGCUGGGGAGCUCAAAACCCCAGCACAGAAUCCUUAAUGAUCCCUCUGGCAUUUUUUUGAACAAAAGUAAAGACAGUCCCCACCCUCCUGGGCCUCACCUAGCAAGGGGAAUGGUGGGUAGGGAGGGGCUCAAUCCUUGAAAAAGUUACUGGGCUGAGGAAUGGGGCCUUAGAGUGUAGAUUAACAUUCAGGUACAGGAGGGGAGGGGGAAGAUCCCCUUGGUUCUUGUGACCUCAACUGGACAGGAAAGGGGUGAAAAUAAAGCCAAAUGAAGGAGAAUGCACACAUACACAGAUCCACUUCCAUAUCUGCUUGGCUUGGGGGUAAAGCCUACUGCUCAGCUGAGAAUGAACUGAGAGCUUCUCAAGGGAACUCCAGGACUCUAAGAGGGAUGGCAUUCUGAGGAUGGGCACAGCAGCAGAAAGACAAGGCCUGGGGAAGGAGGAUCUCAAGGAGGAGAAGCCAAAAGGCCAGUUUGGCAGCUCAGGGCUGGGUGAAGAGGACUGUGUGUGACCCCCUGGGAUGGCAGCUGGGCCAGGUUGUGAAGAGCUUUCAAAUAGCAAACAGAUAUGCUCAUUGAUACUAUCGGGGACCACUGGAAUUUCCUGAGUGGAAGGGAUAUGUGUAGGACUGAACUUUAGUCCUGUAGGGUUCCAUCACCUUCUGCCCAAGCUGUUUAGUUCCUGGAUAGGGCCUAGGAGUAGAAGUGGCUCCUAUGGGGAGGUUUAUUUACUUGGCCCCAGAAAAGAGAAUUUUUCCUGCAGCCAGUAACCCAAGGUGGUUCAGGAAAAUAGUGGAGGGGAGGGGCACAGAGAGGACUUGGAGGAAAAAUGAAAGGGACAAAUAGACAAUGAAACUGUAUUACUUGGAAACAACGGGAGGCCACUAUCAGACACAAAUUAAAAGGAUAAACAAGAAAAAAGAUUUAGCAGCUAAUUGGCUAUAGGGAGUUGGGGCCAAGACAGAGGGAAGAGUCAGGGAUGGCGUGUAGGUUGCUAAUGUGGAGGAAAUCAACUGAAUUUGGGGGAAGCAGCUCCCCCAAAAGAAUUACCAUGGAUGUCAAAGAAACUCAACUGCCUUACAGGACUAUGUAAACAGAGACAGACUUCAGGGAAGCCUCCAAUAACUGGGGAGUCACCAAUAAGAUAUUCUAAAGGAAUUAACUAGAGACCCACCUCCUGUGGCCCCACCAGAUAUUCUGGGCAUGAGAAAACAUCCCCAUUGAAACAACCUCUGCAACUCCUGAGAGGAAGGUUAACAUUCUCCCCAAAUCACCCGACAUCCUGCCUCUAUACCCAACCAGCCCAAUGAGCAAAGUGGCUGCCCAGCCUCCCCAGAUAGACUAAGGCUGUGUAAAAUCCUAUUUAUGCCUCUACUUCUCCUUAUUCCAUUGAGAUGCUCCCCACAGGGCAACUGCCAGGGUGCUGAUGCUACUUUAUCUUCAGGGAGGGAUUCCAGAGCUGGAUGGACCUGGAGGCAGGAAGAACUGAGUUCAAAUUUGACCUCAGACACUUUCUCUGUGUGAUACUGGGCAAGUCACUUGACCUGCUUGCCUCACUUUCCUCAAGUAUAAAAUGAGAAUAAUGGCAUCUACCCCAAAGGCUGCUGUGAGGAUUCUAUUUCUCAAGUUCUUGGCAGU